rnacentral:lncRNA from 1 species
GUUUAGAUUCUUGUGGUGCUGCUAUUAAAAGCUUUGAAGCUUUGGAAUCGUAGUGAGGGUGGAGGUGAAUUUCAAACCUGCAUGGAGGCUGUGCACUUUUCCAUUUUUGCACUGGCUUCUUGCUGUGCGUGUCUCGAAGACUCCUGCCUCUUUUCUGUCUUGUAGAAUCCCUGUGGAGUCGCAGCCAGGCAGAGCCUUCAGCCGGCCACAGGGUCAGCAAGAAGAGGAAGUGCACCUUGCCCCGUGCUUGUUCCUGUUCUCAAACGUGAAGAUCGCACUGCUGUGCUGCGAAUACCCUACUUCUCCUCCACAAAGCCACAUGUGCUUUUUAAUGAGAGCAGGUUUGUCUGCUUGGCUACCUAACAAAAAACGGGAACAUGACCGACGUCUGGCUGAGAAAAGAUUUUUGGGUAUUUUUUCUGACGGAAUGAAAGGGGUCGGAGGUGGUGUCUGUAUUCACUGAUGCUGCAGGAGACAGCUCCUGCUGGCGCGAGCAGGAGGUGACAGGAGAGUGGAAGAGCUGCCUGACGUGAUCACAGCUUGCGAUGGCACUGGGCCCUGCUGGUGACGCCUGAGGCCUAGGCGGUCCAGUGGCAAUGCGGGGGCCCAGCUCCUGUCCUUACUGCUGCCCAGUGGACACCUAGUCUCUGUAGGUCACAUUGGGUGAAUGGGGUGUACAAGUAUACUGCUGAAUGUUCUUCUUCCCUUUCUCCUGCUCUUCCUGGGUUCUGCUGAGGGGAAGACCUGCUGCUGGUGUGCGUUUCAUUGGAACGUGUGUGAAGGAUGAUCAUGAUCACGGUUUUGGUUUGAUCAGCACUUGGUUAUGUGUGGAGUCUAAAUCAAGAAUCCUUCAGGAACCAGCUGGGCAAGAUCAAUUCAGAACGUCAGAAAAAUUGCAAACAAGAGGAGGUUCUUCUGCUUAUCUGGCCUGGUUGGAAGUUUGUAGUCAGAUGAUCUGAAGAUCUCAUCCAGCUGUUUCUUGACAGAAGCCAAGGUAUGGGCUUUGAUGACUUAGCUGGGUAGCCUGGUCCACACCCCCCACAACCCUCUGUAUUAAAGAAGUACCUUCUACCCUUGUUUGUGUUUCGUACAAUUUGCUACUAACAGCCAAACAAGAUAAAACGAUUGAGUUACAUUCUCUGCUAUGAAACCUAUUUUUACAUUCACAUUUACUUUAAAGUCAAUCAGUGAUUCAUACAUCCUCAGAAGUUAAUGACACUGAAUAGAGCAUUUAUUCUGAGGUCUCCAUUGCAGCAGGAGCAAUUUAU